rnacentral:lncRNA from 1 species
GUUUGAAUAUAUACAUCUUAUUUUACUGGAUAGUAACUAUUAUAUAGCUAGAGUAUGGUUCUAAAAAUUGAACUAUUGAAAUUAUUGAUUGAGAAUAAAACUGGCCAAAUCCAUAUCGAAAAUCGGAUGUACAGAUUUUCGAUUAUAUUUGCAGGCUCGAUUUUUUUCAUAAUAAAUAACCGAAGCUCGAACUUCGGUCUUAAAUACACGUCAUUAAGUGCUGAAAAAGGGAAAUUCUGCAAUACUGUAUUUCCAAUACUUUUCCAUUUAUUGUAGUAAUUUUAUGACUUUUAAUAAAAAGUUGUAACAAUAAAAGCUGUAACAAUAGUUAUGUCAUGCUCUACUUAUGACAAACUCCAUGACUCCAAGAGAUUAAAUAUCGGGAAUCAAAUUAUUGUAGAAACAGCAAAAAGAAAUCGUAUUAGCAAGAUUCUGUUUAGGACACAAUCAAAUUUCAUUAUUCGUUGCCCAUCUAUAACUUUUAACUUAAUGAAAUAAGACCAAACGAUGUGCACUUAAUAUUCAGCACAUUUUAGUUGCAUACCUUUAUUUUACUGCCAGAAGAUUAC